rnacentral:rRNA from 1 species
GAAGGUGUGUCGUGAGGCAUGCUGGAGGUAUCAGAAGUGCGAAUGCUGACAUAAGUAACGAUAAAGCGGGUGAAAAGCCCGCUCGCCGGAAGACCAAGGGUUCCUGUCCAACGUUAAUCGGGGCAGGGUGAGUCGACCCCUAAGGCGAGGCCGAAAGGCGUAGUCGAUGGGAAACGGGUUAAUAUUCCCGUACUUGGUGUUACUGCGAAGGGGGGACGGAGAAGGCUAUGUUGGCCGGGCGACGGUUGUCCCGGUUUAAGCGUGUAGGUGUGUGUUCCAGGUAAAUCCGGUUCACUUUAACACUGAGGCGUGACGACGAGGCACUACGGUGCUGAAGCAACAAAUGCCCUGCUUCCAGGAAAAGCCUCUAAGCAUCAGGUAACACGAAAUCGUACCCCAAACCGACACAGGUGGUCAGGUAGAGAAUACCAAGGCGCUUGAGAGAACUCGGGUGAAGGAACUAGGCAAAAUGGUGCCGUAACUUCGGGAGAAGGCACGCUGACACGUAGGUGAAGUGAUUUACUCAUGGAGCUGAAGUCAGUCGAAGAUACCAGCUGGCUGCAACUGUUUAUUAAAAACACAGCACUGUGCAAACACGAAAGUGGACGUAUACGGUGUGACGCCUGCCCGGUGCCGGAAGGUUAAUUGAUGGGGUCAGCGCAAGCGAAGCUCCUGAUCGAAGCCCCGGUAAACGGCGGCCGUAACUAUAACGGUCCUAAGGUAGCGAAAUUCCUUGUCGGGUAAGUUCCGACCUGCACGAAUGGCGUAAUGAUGGCCAGGCUGUCUCCACCCGAGACUCAGUGAAAUUGAACUCGCUGUGAAGAUGCAGUGUACCCGCGGCAAGACGGAAAGACCCCGUGAACCUUUACUAUAGCUUGACACUGAACAUUGAGCCUUGAUGUGUAGGAUAGGUGGGAGGCUUUGAAGUGUGGACGCCAGUCUGCAUGGAGCCGACCUUGAAAUACCACCCUUUAAUGUUUGAUGUUCUAACGUGGACCCGUAAUCCGGGUUGCGGACAGUGUCUGGUGGGUAGUUUGACUGGGGCGGUCUCCUCCUAAAGAGUAACGGAGGAGCACGAAGGUUGGCUAAUCCUGGUCGGACAUCAGGAGGUUAGUGCAAUGGCAUAAGCCAGCUUGACUGCGAGCGUGACGGCGCGAGCAGGUGCGAAAGCAGGUCAUAGUGAUCCGGUGGUUCUGAAUGGAAGGGCCAUCGCUCAACGGAUAAAAGGUACUCCGGGGAUAACAGGCUGAUACCGCCCAAGAGUUCAUAUCGACGGCGGUGUUUGGCACCUCGAUGUCGGCUCAUCACAUCCUGGGGCUGAAGUAGGUCCCAAGGGUAUGGCUGUUCGCCAUUUAAAGUGGUACGCGAGCUGGGUUUAGAACGUCGUGAGACAGUUCGGUCCCUAUCUGCCGUGGGCGCUGGAGAACUGAGGGGGGCUGCUCCUAGUACGAGAGGACCGGAGUGGACGCAUCACUGGUGUUCGGGUUGUCAUGCCAAUGGCACUGCCCGGUAGCUAAAUGCGGAAGAGAUAAGUGCUGAAAGCAUCUAAGCACGAAACUUGCCCCGAGAUGAGUUCUCCCUGAGACUUAGAGUCUCCUGAAGGAACGUUGAAGACGACGACGUUGAUAGGCCGGGUGUGUAAGCGCAGCGAUGCGUUGAGCUAACCGGUACUAAUGAACCGUGAGGCUUAACCUUACAACGCCGAAG